rnacentral:rRNA from 1 species
AGUGAACGCUGGCGGCAGGCCUAACACAUGCAAGUCGAGCGGAUGAAGGGAGCGUGCUCCUGGAUUCAGCUGCCGACGGGUGAGUAAGGCCUAGGAAUCUCCCUGUCAGUUUGGGAUAACGUCCGGAAACGGGCGCUAAUACCGCAUACCUCCUGAGGAAGUAAGUGUGGGAUCUUCGGACCUCACGCUAUCAGGUGAGCCUAGGUCGGAUUAGCUAGUUGGUGGGGUAAAGGCCUACCAAGGCGACGAUCCGUAACUGGUCUGAGAGGAUGAUCAGUCACACUGGAACUGAGACACGGUCCAGACUCCUACGGGAGGCAGCAGUGGGGAAUAUUGGACAAUGGGCGCAAGCCUGAUCCAGCCAUGCCGCGUGUGUGAAGAAGGUCUUCGGAUUGUAAAGCACUUUAAGUUGGGAGGAAGGGCAGUAAGUUAAUACCUUGCUGUUUUGACGUUACCAAAAGAAUAAGCACCGGCUAACUUCGUG